UGGGGAAUAUUGGACAAUGGGCGAAAGCCUGAUCCAGCAAUGCCGCGUGUGUGAAGAAGGUCUUCGGAUUGUAAAGCACUUUCGACGGGGACGAUGAUGACGGUACCCGUAGAAGAAGCCCCGGCUAACUUCGUGCCNG
rnacentral:rRNA from 1 species